rnacentral:rRNA from 1 species
CUACAGGCUUAACACAUGCAAGUCGAGGGGCAGCAUGAUCUUAGCUUGCUAAGGCCGAUGGCGACCGGCGCACGGGUGAGUAACGCGUAUCCAACCUGCCUUACACUCUUGGACAGCCUUCUGAAAGGGAGAUUAAUACAAGAUGUUAUCAUGAGUAAGCAUUUUCGCAUGAUUAAAGGUUUACCGGUGUAAGAUGGGGAUGCGUUCCAUUAGAUAGUAGGCGGGGUAACGGCCCACCUAGUCUUCGAUGGAUAGGGGUUCUGAGAGGAAGGUCCCCCACAUUGGAACUGAGACACGGUCCAAACUCCUACGGGAGGCAGCAGUGAGGAAUAUUGGUCAAUGGACGAGAGUCUGAACCAGCCAAGUAGCGUGAAGGAUGAAGGUUCUAUGGAUUGUAAACUUCUUUUAUACGGGAAUAAACGGAUCCACGUGUGGAUUUUUGCAUGUACCGUAUGAAUAAGGAUCGGCUAACUCCGUGCCAGCAGCCGCGGUAAUACGGAGGAUCCGAGCGUUAUCCGGAUUUAUUGGGUUUAAAGGGAGCGUAGAUGGGUUGUUAAGUCAGUUGUGAAAGUUUGCGGCUCAACCGCAAAAUUGCAAUUGAUACUGGCAGUCUUGAGUACAGUUGAGGUAGGCGGAAUUCGUGGUGUAGCGGUGAAAUGCUUAGAUAUCACGAAGAACUCCGAUUGCGAAGGCAGCUUACUAACCUGUAACUGACAUUGAUGCUCGAAAGUGUGGGUAUCAAACAGGAUUAGAUACCCUGGUAGUCCACACGGUAAACGAUGAAUACUCGCUGUAGGCGAUAUACAGUCUGCGGCCAAGCGAAAGCAUUAAGUAUUCCACCUGGGGAGUACGCCGGCAACGGUGAAACUCAAAGGAAUUGACGGGGGCCCGCACAAGCGGAGGAACAUGUGGUUUAAUUCGAUGAUACGCGAGGAACCUUACCCGGGCUUAAAUUGCAACCGAAUAUGGCGGAAACGCUAUAGCUAGCAAUAGCGGUUGUGAAGGUGCUGCAUGGUUGUCGUCAGCUCGUGCCGUGAGGUGUCGGCUUAAGUGCCAUAACGAGCGCAACCCUUGCCGAUAGUUACUAACAGGUCAUGCUGAGGACUCUGUCGGGACUGCCAUCGUAAGAUGUGAGGAAGGUGGGGAUGACGUCAAAUCAGCACGGCCCUUACGUCCGGGGCUACACACGUGUUACAAUGGGGGGUACAGAGGGCUGCUACCACGCAAGUGGAUGCCAAUCCCAAAAACCUCUCUCAGUUCGGAUUGAAGUCUGCAACCCGACUUCAUGAAGCUGGAUUCGCUAGUAAUCGCGCAUCAGCCACGGCGCGGUGAAUACGUUCCCGGGCCUUGUACACACCGCCCGUCAAGCCAUGGGAGCCGGGGGUACCUGAAGUGCGAAGCCGCAAGGAGCGCCCUAGGGUAAAACU